rnacentral:lncRNA from 1 species
CAAAUUACAGAAGCCAAAUGCUGCCAUCCGAGACUGUGACAGAGCCAUUGAAAUAAAUCCUGAUUCAGCUCAGCCUCACAAGUGGCGAGGGAAAGCACAUAGUAUGAGCAAAAACGUGAAGAGUGAGAGAUCAAAGCAAGAAUAGAAUGAGUUAAGAAGGCUCGAGAAGAGCAUGAGAGGGAGGAAGAAGCCAGACCGCAGUCAGGAGCUCAGUAUGGCUCUUUUCCAGGUGGCUGGCCAGUGAGGGCUCAGCGAGGACUCAGUGGCAGCUGCAUUGUUGCUUGGUUUCCCCCUCUUCCCAGACCUGCUUCUUCAUUUCCUUUGAGGUGUACCUUCAAGAAGCAUUGCUCUGUAGUGUGACUCUCUGCCUCAAAGUCUGAUUCCAGGGAUCUUGAUCUGGGACAGAUGGUUGUUAGCAUGUUACUUGGCACCAGCAGGUACUCAAGGAAUGUUAGUUUUCUUCUGUUAUGGCCUUAAC